UACGGAGGGUGCAAGCAUUAAUCGGAAUUAUUGGGCGUAAAGGGCGCGUAGGUGGAUAUAUAAGUCGGAUGUGAAAUCCCGAGGCUCAACUUCGGGGCUGCAUACGAAACUGUAUAUCUUGAGGGUAGGCGGAGAAAGUGGAAUUCCACGUGUAGCGGUGAAAUGCGUAGAUAUGUGGAAGAACACCCGUGGCGAAGGCGACUUUCUAGCUUAUACCUGACACUGAGGCGCGAAAGCAAGGGGAGCAAACAGG
rnacentral:rRNA from 1 species